CGGAAAAUGCACGCUUAGAUGAGCGGGCAACAGACGCGGCGGACUUGGCUGGCGGCAGAGUCCCUGGAGAUAUCGUGCCUUCCAACCAAAGUCCUCGGCUGCUCAGUCCGCUCGGCCGGCACUUUGCAGCCUCAAGCCCUGGAUGGUCUCAACAGCUGAACUCAGAAUUUCUACAUCUGCUCCCUGGGCCCGGAGGUUCAGAUUCUCCUUGCUGUGCUCAACUGCAGAGUGUACGGACGAGAGAGAGGACACAGAGUUUAAGCGUCCACAGUUAAUCAGCAUUCCACCUGGGGAGAUAACUUCUUCAUGCUAGCCACUCCAUCUCUGAGCAGAAAAAUAAUGUCCUUCUUCCGACAAUUGGCAUGCUGAAAUACCCUUGGGGGGCUUGUACUUUCCACCCAUCACUGAGGCAGAGUUUGGAGGUUUGCAGAAUGGAGUAGAAGAUUCCAGCUUUUCCAUGACUGUUCAGGAGAGUGAGAAUUACAAAUUUUCCUGAGAUUUAUAGAGUUCCAGGGUGCGUUGGUUCCCAUUGCUUUGAGGCCAGUUCUUGGAAUUAUGGCAGCUUCUGGCAGGUUAUAGUCCAAGGGGUCGCAGAGAGUCAGAAGCCACUGAGCAAUACUCAGGAAAUUCCAAAUUCGGAGCGCUCUGUGCCAGGAAUUGGAGGAGACCAAACACACGUAUCUUAUUAUAAGUCACAAACGGGCUCCACCGUCUCCUGUGUCCCUCCUGUACCUAGCCCAUCCACUUCCUUCAUCUCAACCCCCAACCUCGCCCCAGGCUGCAGUGGACCCUUCAUCUAUGUCAUCUAGGAUGAGCACCAGAUUCAAUGAGGGGCUAAAAAACCUGGAAAACCUUCAUCAUUGUAGAGGAUAUAGCUUCUUAACGAUGGAAAGAUUGAUUUUGGUUGUAUUCCAAAAGGGGAAUAAAAGAAUUCCAAAAGUGG
ensembl:lncRNA